ACGACUCUCGGCAACGGAUAUCUCGGCUCUCGCAUCGAUGAAGAACGUAGCGAAAUGCGAUACUUGGUGUGAAUUGCAGAAUCCCGUGAACCAUCGAGUCUUUGAACGCAAGUUGCGCCCGAAGCCUUUUGGCCGAGGGCACGCCUGCCUGGGCGUCACGCAA
rnacentral:rRNA from 1 species